rnacentral:tRNA from 1 species
UCCAAGGCUAAAUAUUGCUCAAGAUCGAUAGUGAACGAGUACCGUGAGGGAAAGGUGAAAAGCAUCCCGGUGAGGGAGAUGAAAUAGUUUCUGAAACCAUGUCGCUAACGAAGAGUCGGAGCCCCGCACCAAUUUUUGGAAUAGUUCUGUGUUUUUGUAGAUGUGAAAGGCGAAGCCGUUUCGCUUUCAUUUCUCAAUGAUGGCAGGAUUGUACUUGAAAUUGGUGCGGGGUGACGGCGUGCUUUUUGCAGAACGAGCCAACGAGUUUGCUCUACGUGGUCGCCUAACCCAGUCUUUGUGUUUUUAUAUCUUGUUGGUUUCAUUGAGGAAGAGGUUGUCCUUUUUAUUUCUUUGGAAAACUACCUGGUAGCUCAGUGGUAGAGCGGCUUCUUGGUAAGAAGGAGGUCGCAGGUUCGAAUCCUGUCCAGGUACCCAUUCCAAAGAUCCAAGAAUUGGAUAAUGAUUUUCUUUUGUGGAUUUGUAGAGUAGGGCGCUGAUAGCUCAGAUGGUAGAGCACUCCCCUGUCAAGGGAGAGGAGUCGCGGGUUCGAGUCCCGUUCGGCGCUCCAUUUCUACAAAGAAGUGGAAAAGAUAAAAAAGGAAAAAGCAAAUGCAACGACAUUUGCCUUCAAUGAAGCUUGCAAGAAAACUAGAAACAGAAAGACUGGGGGAGGCGUAGUGAAAGCGAGCCUGAUAAGGGCGCCUGCCCGCAUUGCUACGCGUAAGCGUUGCAGGCGGGUGUAUGAUCGCGUGGACAAGACCCGAAGCCGGACGAGCUACAUAUGAGCAGGGUGAAGCGAAGGUAAAACUUCGUGGAGGCCCGAACCCACGAGCCGUGCAACACUCGGGGAUGACUUGUGUGUAGAGGAGAAAUUCCAAUCGAGUUCGGCGAUAGCUGGUUCUCUCCGAAAUAGCUUGAGGGCUAGCGUCGCGGAAGUAGGGUCGGGAGGUAGAGCUACUGGAUGAGAAUUCGCGGGCAACCGUAGGAUUUUCAACCAAACUCCGAAUGCCCGAUACCCGUACCGCGGCAGUCAGAAAUCCGGGGCUAAGCUCGGAUCUCAAAAGGGAAACAGCCCAGAUCGUCAUCUAAGGUCCCCAAAUCUCUGUUCAGUGGAAAAGGAAGUGAAGUUUCUCAGACACCUAGGAGGUUGGCUUAGAAGCAGCCAUCCUUUAAAGAGUGCGUAAUAGCUCACUAGUCUAGAGACUUCGCGCCGAAAAUGUAACGGGGCUAAACAGAGUACCGAAGAUACGGGAUUCUUUCUUGCUUGCAAGAAAGAAUCGGUAGGAGAGCGUUCCUUGUGCGCUGAAGCGUGCAUCGCGAGAUGGCGUGGAGCGCAGGGAAGUGAGAAUGUUGGCAUGAGUAACCGCAAUGCAUGUGAAAUCCAUGCACACCGAAAGUCCAAGGUUUCCCGGGCAACGGCGAUCGUCCCGGGGUUAGUCGGUCCUAAGGCGAGGCCGAAAGGCGUAGUCGAUGGCAAAUCGGUUAAUAUUCCGAUACUAUAGAACACAUUCGAUGGAGUGACGCAUUCUAGUAUUCUUCGCGCAUUAUUGGAUUUGUGUAGAGAUAUUGAGGGCGCCGGGUAGGCAAAUCCGCUCGGCAUUCUCCCAAGAUAUUUCUGGACGUUCGGAUUCGUCCGAAUGAACGAAGAGGAGCAGGGUGCCAGGAAAAACUUCUCAGGUUCGUGUGUUCAUAACCGUACUAAAACCGACACAGGUGGACUGGGCGAGGAGCCCAAGGUGAACGGGAGAACCUUCGUUAAGGAACUCGGCAAAAAAGCUAGGCGUACGUUUGCAAUAUGCCUUGCCCGUCGCAAGACGGGCCGCAGCGAAAGUUUCCCAAGCGACUGUUUACCAAAAACACAGGUCUCUGCAAACCCGCAAGGGGAAGUAUAGGGGCUGACGCCUGACCAGUGCUGGAACGUUAACGGGAGCGGUUUACGCCAAUCCCCGAAGCGCCAGUGAACGUCGGCGAUAACUAUAAUCGUCCUAAGGUAGCGAAAUUCCUUGUCAGGUAAAAAUGGGUUAGAUAUUUGCCUGAAUGUUGUGGUGACACGACAAAAGUACACCGGCUUAUAACGGUGAAGCCCGCCCUUCCCAGAGACGAUUGGGAAGAGGGUGAUACCGUGGGAAUCCCGAAAAAAUCGGGGACCCGUAACGACUGAAGCGAAAGCUGAGAUCUCGCAAGGGCGAGAUAACACGCCGGCUCUUAUCACAGGAAAAUGAAAGAAAAAAUCUAUGGAUUUUGCGUCGUAUGUUUCCGGUUUUGUCGAUGGUGAAGGAUGUUUCAGUGUUUCGUUUAAUCUUCGAGAGAAGCUUCGAACGGGCAUUGAAGUUCGUCCAAGUUUUUCCAUUGCGCAAAACAAGCGAAAUCUUGCUGUUAUCAAGAAACUCCAUACGUAUUUUGGGUGCGGUGCCAUUCGAUUUUCAAAGAAUGACCAGUGCUACAAGUACGAAGUGCGAGACUUGAAAGAACUGCGAGAAAGAAUUGUUCCGCACUUCAAGCAAUUUCCUCUUUUGACUUCGAAGCAGUGUGAUUUCGAAGUGUUUGAAGAAACAUGCGAUCGUGUGGCGCAAUCAAAGCAUAGGAAUCCGAAACAUCUUCGAGAGAUUAUUUCUCUCGCAUAUGCUAUGAAUGGUUCCGGGAA